GGGGCUGAUUCUGGAUUCGACGGGAUUUGCGAAACCCAAGGUGCAUGCCGAGGGGCGGUUGGCCUCGUAAAAAGCCGCAAAAAAAUAGUCGCAAACGACGAAACCUACGCUUUAGCAGCUUAAUAACCUGCUUAGAGCCCUCUCUCCCUAGCCUCCGCUCUUAGGACGGGGAGCAAGAGAGGUCAAACCCAAAAGAGAUCGCGUGGAUGCCUUGCCUGGGGUUGAAGCGUUAAAACGAAUCAGGCUAGUCUGGUAGUGGCGUGUCCGUCCGCAGGUGCCAGGCGAAUGUAAAGACAGACUAAGCAUGUAGUACCGAGGAUGUAGGAAUUUCGGACGCGGGUUCAACUCCCGCCAGCUCCACCA
rnacentral:tmRNA from 2 species